rnacentral:ncRNA from 1 species
UGUCUCCUCCACCUCCUCCUUUGGUGGAUUUAGCCCCUAGCCGCAAGGCUCGGGGCUUUUUUC